AGUGAACGCUGGCGGUAGGCCUAACACAUGCGAGUCGAACGGCAGCACAGUAAGAGCUUGCUCUUACGGGUGGCGAGUGGCGGACGGGUGAGGAAUACAUCGGAAUCUACUUUUUCGUGGGGGAUAACGUAGGGAAACUUACGCUAAUACCGCAUACGACCUACGGGUGAAAGCAGGGGAUCUUCGGACCUUGCGCGAUUGAAUGAGCCGAUGUCGGAUUAGCUAGUUGGCGGGGUAAAGGCCCACCAAGGCGACGAUCCGUAGCUGGUCUGAGAGGAUGAUCAGCCACACUGAAACUGAGACACGGUCCAGACUCCUACGGGAGGCAGCAGUGGGGAAUAUUGGACAAUGGGCGCAAGCCUGAUCCAGCCAUACCGCGUGGGUGAAGAAGGCCUUCGGGUUGUAAAGCCCUUUUGUUGGGAAAGAAAAGCAGCAGGUUAAUACCCCGCUGUUCUGACGGUACCCAAAGAAUAAGCACCGGCUAACUUCGU
rnacentral:rRNA from 1 species